CACAGUUCACACAAAAAAUCUAUUAAUACUAUGAGCUGCUGCUGUUAUUUUUGAUAACAGAUGGACAGCACUGUGCUGGUUAGAUUAGUAGGUUCUGGGUUUGAUAACAGAUGGACGGUGCUGUGCUGGUUAGAUUAGAACGUUCUGGGGUUUGAUAACAGAUGGAUGGAGCUGUGCUGAUUAGAUUAGUAGAUUCAGGGGUUUGAUAAGAGAUGGACAGCGCUGUGCGGGUUAGAUUAGUAAUUAGAUAACGGAUGGCGAAGCUGGGUAGAUUAGUAGGUUUUGGGGUUUGAUAACAGAUGGACGGUGCUGUGCUGGUUAGAUUAGUAGGUUCUGGGGUUUGAUAAAAGAUGGACGGUGCUGUGCUGGUUAGAUUAGUAGGUUCUGGUAUUUGAUAACAGAUGGACGGAGCUGUGCUGGUUAGAUUAGUAGGUUCUGGGUUUUGGUAACAGAUGGACGAUGCUGUGCUGGUUAGAUUAGUAGGUUCUGGGGUUUGAUAACAGAUGGACAAUGCUGUGCUGGUUAGAUUAGUAGGUUCUGGGGUUUGAUAACAGAUGGACGGUGCUGUGCUGGUUAGAUUAGUAGGUUCUGGGUUUGAUAACAGAUGGACGGUGCUGUGCUGGUUAGAUUAGUAGGUUCUGGGGUUUGAUAACAGAUGGACGGUGCUGUGCUGGUUAGAUUAGUAGGUUCUGGGUUUGAUAACAGAUGGACGGUGCUGUGCUGGUUAGAUUAGUAGGUUCUGGGGUUUGAUAACAGAUGGACGAUGCUGUGCUGGUUAGAUUAGUAGGUUCUGGGGUUUGAUAACAGAUGGACGGUGCUGUGCUGGUUAGAUUAAUUUUACAACCACAUUACUUUUGCCAAAAG